ensembl:snoRNA SNORA73 Small nucleolar RNA SNORA73 family
CCAACGGGGAUACCUGGGGGAGGUUGCUCUCUCUCAGCUCUGUCCGUGCGGCGUGUGGGAGCCGAGGCCUUUGGCCGGUGAUGUAUAGUCCCCUUCCGCGCCGUUGGAGAGCAAACGGGCCCUGAGGCCUGCAGCCUGCAUAUUCCUACUGCUUCUCUGAGCCUUUGGGCUGUGACUGAGGAGACAAACCAUGCAGGAGACACUU